rnacentral:tRNA from 1 species
UCUAAAAGGAAAAGCUUCCAUGGUAAGAGCUUAAAUCUUAAGCAUUUAUCUGCCAUUUUAGA